AUAAAUUUAAAUUUGGUUUAUUAAUUGAUUUUAUUAUUUUUUUACAUGUAAAUUUUUGUGAGAUUUUUAAUUAAAUUUUAAUAAUUUAUUUAAGUAUUUUAUUCGCAGUAUUUUGUAUUAAAAAUUUAAGUAAUUAAGAUUUAGAAAUUGAUUAUAGUAUUAACAAAUUUUGUGCCAGCAGUUGCGGUUAUACAAAAAUAUAUAAAUUAAUUUUUUUAAUUGAUAAUUAAAUUAUUAUUUUAUAUAAAUUAAAAUUAUAAUUAUUAGGUGAAAUUUUUAAUUAUAAAAUAUUUUAUAAAUUAAUUUUUUAGUAUUAUGAAUUUUUUAUUUUAAACUAGGAUUAGAUACCCUAUUAUUAAAAAUAUAAAUUUAGUUUAUUAAAUUAGUAUUAGUUAUGUUCUUUAAAAUUAAAAAUUUUGGCGGUAUUUUAGUCUAUUUAGAGGAACCUGUUCUGUUAUUGAUAAUCCACGAUAAUAUAAACUUAAUUUAUAUAAAUUUGUAUAUCGUCGUUAUAAAAAAAUUUUAAAAGAAUUUUAAUUUUUAUAAUUUUUUAUUUUAAAGUAUAUCAGAUCAAGGUGCAGUUUAUAUUUAAGUAGAAAUGGGUUACAAUAAAUUUAUUUAUUUUAUGGAUUAGUAAAUUUGAUAUUUAUUAUGAAGGUGGAUUUAAUAGUAAUAAGAUUAAAUUAAGUUUUAUGAUUUUAGCUCUAAAAUAUGUACAUAUCGCCCGUCACUCUUAUAUAAGAUAAGAUAAGUCGUAACAUAGUAGAUGUACUGGAAAGUGUAUCUAGAAUGAC
rnacentral:ncRNA from 1 species